CUGUGAGGUAUGCUGGAGGUAUCAGAAGUGCGAAUGCUGACAUAAGUAACGAUAAAGCGGGUGAAAAGCCCGCUCGCCGGAAGACCAAGGGUUCCUGUCCAACGUUAAUCGGGGCAGGGUGAGUCGACCCCUAAGGCGAGGCCGAAAGGCGUAGUCGAUGGGAAACAGGUUAAUAUUCCUGUACUUGGUGUUACUGCGAAGGGGGGACGGAGAAGGCUAUGUUGGCCGGGCGACGGUUGUCCCGGUUUAAGCGUGUAGGCUGAUUUUCCAGGCAAAUCCGGAAAAUCAAGGCUGAGGCGUGAUGACGAGGCACUACGGUGCUGAAGCAACAAAUGCCCUGCUUCCAGGAAAAGCCUCUAAGCAUCAGGUAACAUCAAAUCGUACCCCAAACCGACACAGGUGGUCAGGUAGAGAAUACCAAGGCGCUUGAGAGAACUCGGGUGAAGGAACUAGGCAAAAUGGUGCCGUAACUUCGGGAGAAGGCACGCUGAUAUGUAGGUGAAGCGACUUGCUCGUGGAGCUGAAAUCAGUCGAAGAUACCAGCUGGCUGCAACUGUUUAUUAAAAACACAGCACUGUGCAAACACGAAAGUGGACGUAUACGGUGUGACGCCUGCCCGGUGCCGGAAGGUUAAUUGAUGGGGUUAGCGGUAACGCGAAGCUCUUGAUCGAAGCCCCGGUAAACGGCGGCCGUAACUAUAACGGUCCUAAGGUAGCGAAAUUCCUUGUCGGGUAAGUUCCGACCUGCACGAAUGGCGUAAUGAUGGCCAGGCUGUCUCCACCCGAGACUCAGUGAAAUUGAACUCGCUGUGAAGAUGCAGUGUACCCGCGGCAAGACGGAAAGACCCCGUGAACCUUUACUAUAGCUUGACACUGAACAUUGAGCCUUGAUGUGUAGGAUAGGUGGGAGGCUUUGAAGUGUGGACGCCAGUCUGCAUGGAGCCGGCCUUGAAAUACCACCCUUUAAUGUUUGAUGUUCUAACGUUGGCCCCUGAUCGGGGUUGCGGACAGUGUCUGGUGGGUAGUUUGACUGGGGCGGUCUCCUCCUAAAGAGUAACGGAGGAGCACGAAGGUUGGCUAAUCCUGGUCGGACAUCAGGAGGUUAGUGCAAUGGCAUAAGCCAGCUUGACUGCGAGCGUGACGGCGCGAGCAGGUGCGAAAGCAGGUCAUAGUGAUCCGGUGGUUCUGAAUGGAAGGGCCAUCGCUCAACGGAUAAAAGGUACUCCGGGGAUAACAGGCUGAUACCGCCCAAGAGUUCAUAUCGACGGCGGUGUUUGGCACCUCGAUGUCGGCUCAUCACAUCCUGGGGCUGAAGUAGGUCCCAAGGGUAUGGCUGUUCGCCAUUUAAAGUGGUACGCGAGCUGGGUUUAGAACGUCGUGAGACAGUUCGGUCCCUAUCUGCCGUGGGCGCUGGAGAACUGAGGGGGGCUGCUCCUAGUACGAGAGGACCGGAGUGGACGCAUCACUGGUGUUCGGGUUGUCAUGCCAAUGGCACUGCCCGGUAGCUAAAUGCGGAAGAGAUAAGUGCUGAAAGCAUCUAAGCACGAAACUUGCCCCGAGAUGAGUUCUCCCUGAGACUUAGAGUCUCCUGAAGGAACGUUGAAGACGACGACGUUGAUAGGCCGGGUGUGUAAGCGCAGCGAUGCGUUGAGCUAACCGGUACUAAUGAACCGUGAGGCUUAACCUU
rnacentral:rRNA from 1 species